ensembl:lncRNA
AAAAAAAACAAACAGGAGCCUCGACACAGGUGCCCAUGUAAGCUGCCGUGAAUUAGGGUGAUUAGUGACUGCUUAUCUGCACCUGGAGUGGUGCUGGAGUCUCGCUUUCUGAAAAGGAGCCUCAGGUCUUCCAGAGGUUCUCAAGAAUAGCUUUCUUCCUAGUCCUGUGAAAAUUCUAGUGACCUUCUCCCAGUGAUCCCUGUAACACCUACUGCAGUCACGGUGGUGGAGAAAGAAAGUUGGAUUCACCUUGCUAGGAUAAACCCAGCCCCACAUGAACUGUGUGAAGACAAAGAUCACCCAGAGAAGAAAGCAGCUCCUCUCCUCCUCCUCCUCAAAAAGGUCUCAUUAUGUCGUCUAGGCUGGCCUCAAACUCAUGGCGAGCCUCCUGCCUCAGCCUCCUGAGUGCUAGAAUAUAGACGUGCACCACCACCACGCCUGGCUUGGAAAAAACCUGCUUCCCGGUGCCUCAGAAUGUGCCUGUGUUGGAGUUAAAGAGAUUGUUCACCACCAUGGCAUUCCUUAACCACAAUGUACGAGGUCUUUUCCUGUUGCUAGUAACACAAUACCAGAAUAGGGUCUCCUUCUGUACCCCAGGAUGGCCUUGAACUCAAGGCUAUCCUCCUGCCUCAGCAUCCAGAAUGCAGAGAUUGCAGAUGCGUGCCACCACACCCCGCGGCCAGAGAAGUGGUCUCUAGCCUGAGGCGAUCAGCAGCCCCUACAGAGAACAAGAGCCACCCAGAGUGGGGGCAUCAGAGCCCCGAGACUUGGCUAGAACCUUCCCUGGACAGAAUCUUCGUUCUGUGUGGGGAGGGAGGUUGAGACAACAGGCACUAAGGUAGGCACACGGAGGAGCACCCGGGCCCUGCUAUUCAGGAACAAAAGGACAUGCAGCACAAACUUGGGCCCUCAGUGCCCUUAGUAUUGUACAUAGGUAAGUUAAUUAGUUAUCUUGUAGGCAGUUAGACAGGAGCCACCCUCACGGAGCCAACACAGCGAGGAGCCAACAUGGAGGACAACUGAGGCACAUUAACUGGUUAGCAUUAUAAAGAGAAGAGAAGUGGGCCGGGGAUUUAGCUCAGUGGUUCUGCCUCCUGCCCCGCAAGUGCAAGGAUCAGACUUUGAUCCCCGGUACCAAAAAAAAAAAAAAAAAAAAAAAAAAAAAAAAAAAAAAAAAGAAGAAGAGCUCUACUUCCCCUAGAGAUAGCAGUGAUUGAUAUUCCAAAUGGGAAACUUCUCGUAUGUGACUUGUUUUCCCAUUUGAUCCCCAUUUAAUCAGUAUUACCUGGGUCACUGUACUGAAGGACCCUUGUUAGCAAGACAGACUCCAUAUUGCUGCUUGACCCACCUGCCUACCCUUUAGAUGAACUCAGAAGGAGGAAACUUAAAAACCUCCUCCCCUUGGAGAGUCUCUUUAGAAAUAACAGUUAAUCAACUAUUGUUUUAUAAAUGUUCUAACAGCAGGACGUUCUGCUUCUGUACCUUUUGAUUGCUUUACUAGUUCUAUCCCUUAGGGGGCCCUAGAAACUGUAGGCCUCAAAGGUGUAUAAAAUAUGUUAAUCUUCCCCCAGUUGGGCUGAAGUCCGCUGCUCGGUCCCGGCUGGUAAUAAACUCCUGUGUGGAUUUAA